UCCUGCUGACCAGAGGUCAUCAAAGGAGUAGAAGUCGCUUUGAGAUCAAGCCAUCCUGAACUCCAGUCAAUGAUUUGUUGACCUUAACUCAGACCAUGGCUAGCAAGAGAACCUUUCUCCAAAAGAAGUAGCCUUCAAUAGGAACCUAUCGGCAGAAACUGCAGUCACUUCAGGACCAGUACUCCAAGUUAAGAAGCAGCAUUGGAUUUGGUUGGCCUUCAACGAUUAAACCACUUGCCUGACUUUCUACUGUACUUCUUCCUGCUAAUCAGAUGCCAAGACCAAUCAACACUUCAGCUACAGGAUUUCCACCAGUUGAACAGCCAUACAACUGAUUGAAUUCAUACUAGACUCAUACUUUAUUAGAAAUAAUUCAGAGAUGUGCACACUAUCUUUUUUGAUACUGUUUUCUUAAACUCUUUACACGAUCAACUGCCCUGGACAUCUGGAG